rnacentral:lncRNA from 1 species
AGGAUUUCCAUAUAUUGUGGCCCAAUUAAUAAUAUUUAAAUUAGGAUUUGCUAUAGAUAAAGGUCAAUCCUAACAGAUAUAGAACUAUUUGAUAUGGUAUAUUUUAUCCCUAUCCCAUCUAUUUCAGAUUUAAAUAGAAUCCUAAUCAGACUUUGAUGGGAAGUCGAUCUGGACUCUAUAUAAAGGGAUAUUGGUCCUGCCACCUUCUCAUACGCAUUCUGGUGAAGAAUUACCAUCGGUUCCACACCAUACGGCAGAGUGCCUGAGAUAGGGGGAGAAACCAAUUCACCCAAGUUCGGUCCGGACUUUCAGCUUCUGCAAGAUUAAUAAAGAAUCUCUUCUCUAUGGCGCUCUGUGAGUUAUCUUAUAUUCUUAUUUUGAUCCUGAAUUUUGGUAUGUAUUUAUUUUCUAUUUAUUUUACAUACCAUU